GCACAGACGGCCCACAUGAUCACAUCCAUAUGUAAAUCAAGGAAAGUUUGUGCUACUUUUUUGUUCACUGUGGAUGGAUUGCUUCAUAUGAUCUUCUGAAAGAAUAAGAAAUUGCUCAGCUAUGUAGAAAGUGUGACUAAGUGUGUCUGAAGUGUAUCAGUUUGUGUAUAUGGAGAUCAAAACAUAUUUCUACCUUUUUGUCAUGCAUUGUCUGGUUAAAUUUAGGAUCAUGACACUGGUCUAGAGUCUGGAAUUGAGAUGAAGCUUCUUCACCUGUACCUAGAAUUGGGAAUAGACCCUGGAGGCGAUGGGGCAAGGCAAAUACCAUUCACUUGACAAAGUCAUGGUUUGUAGACAAGGAAGGUGGCAAGUCCAGGCACCAAAGGCAAACUGAUGUACAGGUCACAAAACAAGCAUUUUAGAAGAGAUAGAGAUGGGAUAAAUCUUGGAUAUCUGUGAUGUAUAGAAAAUGGGUGGGAAGGUCACCUGAUGGUAGCAGGGGAACGCUACACAGGUGGCACUGACAUGUGCUUUCAUGGGCUAGUAGGCUUUAAAAACCAUGAAUGGUGUGGACAGUGGGUGGCAAGUCCAGUUCUUUGCUUUUCUAUUUUCUAUACUUUUAUAAUCUUAUUUCUUAUUGAAAACAUUUCAACUGUCUUAUCGAAAAUAUUAACAGAAUCAAUAUUUUCUUGCUGAGGUAAAUAAAAUAAGACAUUUAAUAGUAUUAAUUAGUAGUUACCAUGUGUUGAGUGCUUAGUGUGACCUAGCCACUGAACUAAACAGUUUGAGCACCAUAUAUUAGUUAUGAAGUAGUAAUGAUUUAUUUACACCUUACAUGUGAUGUAAAUAAUUUUCGGCAAGGUUAUAUGAACAUCUCUUUGCAAUAAAGGGAGGAAAAUCAUUUUAACGCCUAUGUAAUUACACCCUCUGUUUGUGGUUUGAAGUUUCUGUACCAUCUGCCUUUUGAAGGGAUAUUCUUCAGCAUGAGCAGACAUGAUGUAAGCAUGUGGAUUGAAUAUGCACUACUUUUAUCACUGGGGUUUGCUGACCCUUAGGUCAGAAUUUUACCAAGAAGACUGAAAAUAUGAGAGAUCAUUUAGGGUAAUGAAGGAUUAUUAUACCAAGUUAGGUUGCAGGGGCUUACCUGGUGGCGCAGUGAUUAAGAAUCCGCCUGUCAA